GAUGAACGCUGGCGGCGUGCCUAACACAUGCAAGUCGAACGGAAAGGCCCUGCGUUUGUGGGGUGCUCGAGUGGCGAAGGGGGGAGUAACACGUGAGUAACCUGCCCUUGACUUUGGGAGAACUUCAGGAAACUGGGGCUAAUACCGGAUAGGAGCUCCUGCUGCAUGGUGGGGGUUGGAAAGUUUCGGCGGUUGGGGAUGGACUGGCGGCUUACGAGCUUGUUGGUGGGGUAGUGGCUGACCAAGGCUUUGACGGGUAGCCGGCCUGAGAGGGUGACCGGCCACCUUGGGCCUGAGGUACGGCCCAGGCUCCUACGGGAGGCAGCAGUGGGGAAUCUUGCACAGUGGGCGCAAGCCUGUUGCAGCGACGCCGCGUGCGGAAUGACGGCCUUCGGGUUGUGAACCGCUUUCGCCUGUGACGAAGCGUGAGUGACGGUACUGAGUAAAGAGGCACCGGCUAACUACGUG
rnacentral:rRNA from 1 species